UUCUGGCUCCUUCUCAGGCUCAAGUUGGCCACCCCUGGUGUAGUCUAUGUAUGCAUAUUAUUACCUUGAUAUUGCAGUGUAUUUAGUAUUUCAUGCUUAAUCUCUGUGUGACUGUGCAUGGUGGGUGUGUGGCUGUGCAUCUCACAUACCUGGGAUAUAUAUAGAUACACACACACACUUUUUUUUUUCAGAACUGGAAGGUUAAAUAGAUGGAACUAUUUAAAACACUAACAGGGUGAUCAUGCUUACUUUAAGUCUUAUAUUUCUAUAACUGUCAUGUUGUUUUAUGAAAACUAAUUUUACUGGGGCUAUUUUAACGCUAGCAUGAUGUUUGCUGAAGACUGUGUUUCAAAGCUGACAAAUAUUUCCCCUCCCUAAAGAAAAAAACCCAUUGUGCUGUAAUUUAUCUUUUUAACUAAGCUCUGUGGGUCUGUGUAGCAUGCAAAAAAAAAAGGGUUGUCCUUGUCACCUGCCAUUUUCCCAGCCAACUUGACACCCCCCGGGCUUCCUAACAGCUCUUUCCAGCAGGAGCUGUCUCAGAGCUCUUAGCACCACCAAAUAAUUGAGGUUGUCACAUCUCUUGUUCAUUGUUUUUCCAGCCCAGGAAAAAAUGCAAAUAUUUCAUUGUAGUCAUUAAUUUUCCCAUCCUUUUCUUCAAGCAUCUCAUUGGUGUGAUCUGAUGAAAAGGGCUGAAGGCAUUAUUGCAAACACAGUGGCAUCCAGGUUCUGCCUAUAGUGGGGAAGAAUCUCAUCAGAUAAAGUCUCAGGGAGGUCAUCAAUCACAGUUGCUGACAACCAUUUUGCCUUCGUUUGUUACAGAUGUGAACAUGCUUAAUUAUUUGUAGUGUAAUUAGUUCAUGAAAUGUCAGGAAAUGUCAAACUGUGUUCACAGCACAGAUUUUUGCAGCGAAGAGGAAUGAGAGCAAGUGUCCAUGGGAUAUGAGGAGGACUGAUGGGGGAGCUGCAUCUACAGGCAAAUAGCUUUGGGGGACAAAGGAGGGUUAAAAAUAUUAGGGUGAGAAGUUUGGAGAGGGAUCCUUUCAAGAGAUUUAUGAAAUGUGCAUGACAUCACAGCUUUUCCAGUGGGUGUUUGUUUUUGUAAACUUCCAUGUUUUAUAGCAGAUUUCAAGGGGCAAUUUCAGCAAAAGUCACCUGCAAUUUAGGUUCAUUCCAGAAAUACUAAAAACACACCGGAUAGGAUAGACAAAAAUUUUAGUAAAAGGGGACUCCUCCCUGGUACAUUUCUUAGCAAUAAAAUUAAAAAAUCAGUGAUCGUUGCCACGAUGAUUGAGAAAUUAUCUGAAAAAGAGAAUAUGCAUAUUUUCUAAGACUACUGAAAUGACAGUUCAACAGCACUUGUGUAUUAGACUUGCAGGUAUGGAAAGUCAAGUUACUUAUGCAAAUGAUAGCAUCCCUACGCUUAUACCCCAAGUACAGAGAUGUCCUGAGUUAUAUGUUUCCCAAUAGACUCUUGGAAGUAAUUUUUUUGCAAAGGGGAAGGGGAGUUUAAUAAAUGAGCCAGCUAUGUAAUCCAACAUCAAAUUAGCCAGCAAAUUCUUCUAGUUCAAUGGUUGGAUCUAGCUCAAGCACUCAUUGUGUGGGAGCGUGCAAUAGUAUUUCACCAGGUGUCAAUAAGCAUGUUUCAAGCUUAGACACAGAUAAUAGAAAAUAUUUUUUCUAGGAAGAAACUAUUAUGGUUCAAUGUAAUUGUGUAGCUUGGCUAGCGCAAGGCAUGAAUUAAUGACUAUAUCAUAAAUACCAUACUUUAAAAAUCAACAUAUCUGCAUACAAUAACUUUUAGCUGGCUUCUAUGAGGAAUACUUCUGAGAAGCCUGAUGACAGUAAGUUGACUGACAUCCUAAAAAAAACCCUUUGAUUGACAAUCUGCUUUUGAAUUCCUAGACGGCACUCCACUGGGCAGCGAAGCACGGCAAUCUUGAGAUGGCAGAGAUGGUCGCCAAAGCAGGCGUCGAUGUCAGUGCUAAAUCGGAUGGGGUUUAUACUAUUUUCCAUGGAGCAGAUGUCCAGGAACCAGGAACUCCUCAUCCGCUUGCUGAUCAAUGCAUACAGCACAAAUGCUCAUGUCAGUCUAUUAGAACGUGAUAGAAGUACUGAUCACUGCUUCUGCAUCUAAAUCCUUUUGAAACCAGGAUGACCUGCUGAAGAGGAUUUUGAGUGGAAGGCCCUUCACAAGACUCUUUCAAAUCCACAUAAAUAAAGCCCUUUACUGGCUUAAAAUGGCCCCUCAGAUUUAGCACUACAGAGCCCCUAAAAAGCACAACACGAUUGUCAUGGAUAUUACAUGAUGGUAACAACAACAGGCCAAGAAGACAAGUCUUGAUGCUGAACAAAACUAGGCCAGACUUUUUCAUGAUUUGGGAUACAGAUUGCUGACAGCCCAGUAAAUAGGCUGUUUAACCCUUUGAAAGUGAAUAAAGAGUGUGGAGACAAAUGCUUUCUGAUAGACUUUGCGCAUGUAACGGGCAAAAAAGUAUAGUAUGUUUUCUGGGAUUUUUGGUGCAUGAUUAAUAUUUAAAUAUUUGAGAAUGAUUAGUACCUAUGUUUUGCUUCUGAAAAACAAUGAACAUAAACAACGGGUGCUGGCAAAUAUGUCAUUUCACAAAAGAACUGUAAUAAGAAUGUUUUUGAAUUGUUCUUAUUUAGGUUACAAAACACUUUAGUGUUUCUUUGUUAUAUUUGAUUCUUUAGAAAAAUGUGCAUGACAGACACACAUACCCAGCUAACCUCAUCUGGUCUGUCCAUAAAUAUACUAAAUAGAAGAAGAUUUCAUUUAUCAGCUGAUCUCAAUAUAUAUUUUUUCUUUUUUAGGAAAGCAAUAUUAAAAAUAGGGUUGUGGUGUGGUUUUAAAGACCAAACAAAACAAAACCAAACCUUUAAGUCCUAAGAGAAAAGAAACUGCUGAUAAAAACUGCUUCCUAGAAAUUAAAAAUGAUAUAUAUUGCCUUCAAUUUUACAAAGCUGUUUGGGUUACUACUUGAAUGGGUCCCUUGUUACACACAAUUUCUGAGGCUUGGCAGCAGCGUGAUUUUCAUAAAUCCAGAUACUACUGUUUCUAACCUAUGACCAUGGUUUAACUGUGCAGGGCUUUUUUAAUUCAUUUAACUCAUUUUAAUUGUCUUUCAGGGGAAGAGAGCUUUCUUUGGCCUGCUUAACUGGCAGGGAAAGCUGCCUGCUUGAGUACUUGGUGCCAUUCAAAGACACCUCUCAUGAAAAUGCAUGCUCGUUCUCACAACUCUUUCACUAACUGUAAUAUUUCUCCCUUACUGUUUAUGUCAGAGAAUCAUUACUGGAAGCUGCUGACAUUUUUGACAUUCAGUAGUAUCAGAAGCACGGUAGGUGGUCCUUAGAUAAUUUUUAGUUGUAUUUUAUGCUCAAGCCAUUGGUAGCAACAGAAGUAAUAUUUUUCCGUACAAAUGUGUAUUGGUCAACAUGCUUAUUAUUUUGUAGAUUUUCCUAUUUCAUUCUACAGAUGAAUGAUUUUAAGCAUGUAAUGCUUAGUACAUAAUAUUUAUAUACCCUGACAGUGUAUGCUUUGUGGGGAGUUGGAAUUUUUUUGAGGGGAGGAGGCGGGGGUUGCUUUUGUGGAAGAUCAAUCUCUACUAGGAAAUCUAUUAUAAUCACUUAUGUUUUACUACAAUGAAAUAAAUAGGCAGCUGCAGUUUCCUGGCCUAAUAGCUCUUAGUUUGAUUGCAAGAAGUAGCAAUCAAUGCAAAGUGAAGGAAAGAAACAUUUUUAAUAACUUACACUUUAGAGAUGAGAUCCCUAAAUUAUUACAAAUUAUAAGGUUAAGACCUCUUGAAGGAAUCCUAGCUAGUUAAAUAUUUAAAACUCCAGGGCAGAGAACACAUGCACUAAUGAGCUUCAGGCUACUAAAUACCAGAAUCUAGGGGGAGACAUCUUGUUUUAUAUUAGAGACCAUUAGUGAAUAUAAACUGGCCAAAGAAGUGUUUAAUUAAAGAAUUAUAUUUUAUGGGGGAGGAGGAAAAAGAUAUGGAUUGCCAAAUCUGCUAGGUUAUAACUGUAAAAAGCUGGAUUGCUGGUAUAAAAACAGGAACAUAGGUAAUGCCAGACUGGAUCAGGCCCAUAGUUUUUCUAGUCCUGUAUGCUGUCUCUGAUAAUGGCCAGCACUAAAUGCUUCAGAGAAAGAUGCAAGUAACCUCAUAGUGGGCAACUAAGGAAUAACUUGCCCAUAGAAGAAGUUCAUUCCUUACCUCUGUCAGCUACAGGUUGUCUUACACCCUGGAGCCUGAGGGUUUAUUUCCCUUCUAACAUUUUUUUAAAUUCAUUCUACUGUAACUGUGAUUGUUCUCAUAUGAAAAGUUUCAUAUUGUAAAUAUGACAUCAGGACACAGAAUUCUCCCAGCCAAAAUGGAAACGAUUCACAAAUAAUUGAACCUGAACCACGAGGUUUUCAUGUGAUAUUUGAAAAAAAAACAAAAAAUCCCAGAAUUCAAAAAUGUAGGAAAACAUAACAACCACAACUGGACAUGUUAUAUUUACUGUC